rnacentral:rRNA from 1 species
GACGAACGCUGGCGGCGUGCUUAACACAUGCAAGUCGAACGGAAAGGCCCUGCUUUUGUGUGGUGCUCGAGUGGCGAACGGGUGAGUAACACGUGAGUAUCCUGCCCUCGACUUUGGGAUAACUUCAGGAAACUGGGGCUAAUACCGGAUAGGUGCUCCUGCUGCAUGGUGGGGGUUGGAAAGUUUCGGCGGUUGGGGAUGGACUCGCGGCUUAUCAGCUUGUUGGUGGGGUAGUGGCUUACCAAGGCUUUGACGGGUAGCCGGCCUGAGAGGGUGACCGGCCACAUUGGGACUGAGAUACGGCCCAGACUCCUACGGGAGGCAGCAGUGGGGAAUAUUGCACAAUGGGCGGAAGCCUGAUGCAGCAACGCCGCGUGCGGGAUGACGGCCUUCGGGUUGUAAACCGCUUUCGCCUGUGACGAAGCGUGAGUGACGGUAAUGGGUAAAGAAGCACCGGCUAACUACGUG